AGCAGGAAAAUGUAAAAGACUGAUAAAAUACAGAAUGAAUUUAUGGAUGUGAACUAAUAGGGAUAAUAGAAAUGCAGAGAAGCAAAUCCAUUUGAGAGUAAUCAUAUAAAUAAAACCAAGCCAAUGUUUUCUAUAAUUAUAUGUUUAUAUACAGAAAAGGGAUAACUCAAGAUUUUCUCUCAGAUUUCAAAGCCAAGGAGAAGAGUGAAUAAUCUCAAGAGGUGAGAAGGGGUCUAGUAUUUAGGGAAAAAAAAAGUUUUGGGUAGAUCCUUGGGUAGACAGUGUAAAGACACACCCAGUCAAAUUAUUUCCCAACCAACUUCUUCCUUGCCUUUUACUUCAGGGAAUCUAUAAACCUGAAGAGGCAGUUGUAGUAGUGUUACAGUCAGUGACAUGCAGGUUGAAUUUUCAUGGAGAGCUUCUCUUCACAAUUAAGGAGGAAAAUUUUCACUGAAGAAUGCACUUUGAAUCCAAAGACCUUCAGCUUGCAGAAUUUGCUCUUCCUCCAGCGAGGCUCACCUUUUCAUGUUAAGGCUUUCAACUAAUUAGAUGAGACCUACCCACACUAUGGAAGUAGUCAUGGACACUAGUGUAGGUCGUUGGAUUUUCAAUGGUCUUGCCUGAAGCUUCAGUCAUGUCUCUAGACACUGAGAAGGAAGCACACUGAAUAAGGAGAUCCCAAUGCCAAAGGCAAUGAAAAUGACCACACAUGUCAGUAAGAAGCCAAGCCCUGGACACACCUCCUACACAAGCACCUGUGCAUAGAGAACUUCCUCAGGCCCUCCAGAAAUUAGGAGUUCAUCCUCAUGAGAGGGCCAGACUUUGUAAGCCUGUCAUACAGAGAAAAAUAAUUCUUGACAAAUGUUAUACAUAUGUCUCAUUUCAUUUAUGUUGAUAUAACAAAAUAUCUGGGACUGGGUAAUUUAUAAAGGAAAGAAAUUUAUUUCUCCUAGUUCUGGAGGUUUAGAAGGUCAAGGCACCAGAUGUUUCAACUGCCUUCUACAGACAGGAACAAAGCUGUGUGUGAGAAAGACGGAAGAGCAGGAGAACAAAAGUUACAUGAAGCCUUUUCUUUUGCAACUGUAAUCCCAUUUAAGAGGAAGGAGCCCUCCUGAUCUGAUCACCUCUUAGAGGCCACACCUCCUAAAUCUAUCACUUUGGCAAUACCUGAAUUUCGGAGCAGACACACUCAAACCAUAGCAACGUAGAAUCAGCAAAUCAACAGAUGACCGCGUAUUCUUACGUUAAGAAAACAAACAAACCAAAACUUUUUUCUUUUCAGAGCAACAGGGGAACAGAAGCCAAAGACGGUGAUGACAACGCAUACUAUGUUUCUUUUAUUUCAUCCAUAGCUUUUCGGACCAGAAUUCUGCUCUUCCCAUAAAGGAAGAGUGAAAAAAGUUAAGGUUAUGGGUUUACAUUUUACAUAGAUAAUAUUAACCCUUAUUACCAUAAACUAAAAUCUCUUACUAAUCAAAAUUAUAUAAACAAUUAUUGGAAUCAGACUAAGACAGCAAUAAAAAAGACUCAUUUUUUAAUCAGAAAAAGAGUGAUUUAGUGGAGCAUAAUUCAUAUCUGUUACUGCACAUAUAAGACCAAAUCAUAUUCAUAUCAAGUUGAUUUUUUGGAACAAAUUUAUUUUUUGAUUUAUUGGCUUUAUGGAUAUGUAUGUACAUAGAUGUGUGUGUGAGUUAACCUUUUUUCUUUUCUUUUCUUUCUUUUUUUUUUUCUUUUUGAAACAAAGUCUCACUCUUUUGCCCAGGCUGGAGUGCAAUGGCGUGAUCUCAGCUCACUGCAACCUCCGCCUCCUGGGCUCAAGCGAUUCUCCUGACUCAGCCUCCAGAGUAGCUGAGAUUACAGGCUCCUGCAAUCACACCCAGCUAAUUUUUGUAUUUUUAGCAGAGAUGGGGUUUCAUCAUGUUGGCCAGGCUGGUCUUGAACUCCUGACUUCAAGUGAUCUGCCCACCUCAGCCUUCCAAAGUUCUGGGAUUACAGGCAUGAGCCCCCGCACCUGGCCAGUUAACCUUUUUUCUAUUGGUCUGCUCUAUAAAAGUUUGCUACUGAUAUAAGGAUAUAUAAUAAUAGAAAUUCUAAUUGAUUUAAUAUAUUAAAUUUUAAUACAUACAUAAUUUUACUGUCUAGAAAUCUGAAUUUAGUAUUUUAUAUUAAUUAUGAAUUUACUAUGUUAAAAUGUCUGUGAAAAUACAGUCACAAAUAUUGUUGAUUAUUCUACUACUAUUUCAUUGUUACUUGGAUGAAAAUAGUCAUGGCAUCAUUCUGUAAUGUAGGACGUGUUUAAUCUUCAUUAGCACCACAUGCAAAUUUGCCAUGGAAACGCCUGAUCAGACAAGAGUACAAGACUCUAAAAGUUUUAAAUCCCCAUAGAUUUUAACAGUUUUCUCCUCUCCUGCAAGGUCAUACUUAUUCUGAAAAUUAAGAAAUAUAUUACCUAAGGAAUUGAUAGACAUCAUAUAGUCUAGUCACUUUCAUACUAAAAGGUUUAAUUUCUUAUGAAAUUAGAAACUCUCACAAAGACUAAAACCAACAGAAGAGAUAUAUUCAAGCUAAGUUAAUAAAAAUGCCCUACAGCUGUAAUCUGUAAGAUGGGGUCUGAUGGGAAUGAAAUAUGUCACUUUACACUGUAUUGCAGUACUCAUAUCCUUUGAAUUUUUAAAGUUAAAACAAAACCUAGCCUAAAACUUCACAUUUGAAUGUCAGUAGGAGACAUUUUAAAUCUUUUAUAAACAAUACAUAAUUUCUUAUUUCUGUAUAGAGUCAAAGCUUUUAAAUACAAUAACUUUCAGCUAAUUUAUUAUUAAGCUGUUGUUUUCAUCAGAGUUACCAAGAAACAUAAACCACUGAUAUGGCUCUGAUGAGUGUAGGACACCAGGGUUCUUAGUCCUCAUGCAGGUUUAAAUAAAAUGACACAGGCACAUGUGGAAUGGUUUUAAGGAGCAGAGAGUUUAACAGGCAAGAAGGGGCAAGAUGGAAGGGAGAAGGAAGAAGCUCCCCUGUACAGAGACAGAGGGAGGGGCGCUCCAAAGCCAAGAGAGGGAACCCCAAGUAGGGUGGAAACCAGCCAGGUGUAUAUAUAGAGGCUGGAGGAACCAGUGUCUGAUUUGCAUAGGGCUCAGGGGAUUGGUUUGACCAGGCAUGUCAUUCAUAUAGCCCUCGAAAAAGCUGGCCUUCUCACCCUAGCCUUUUAAUAGGCAAAUGUAGGGCACCAUGAUGUUCUACACACGUGGGGAUAUGUGAGGGCCAUCAUGUUACCAGGCCCAUGUUGGGGAAGGGCAAGAAGGCUGCGGGGAUCCCCAUGUUGGGUGGACCCAGUUUCUAAUGGUCUGCAUUUGCAUAUCAAAGAUUGCCUGCCUGACUCUUAAGAGCAGAGGCUUUACAAGAAACUUUUCCAGAGAUGGUUUAAAAAACGAAAACUUCUCAAGGACCCCUUUUCCUCUCUAUCUGCCUAAAAUAAUUUCUUAAUAACUCCUACAUCACCACUACAUUUAACAUUAAAUUGCCAUUACUACUUAAAACUAAUGUAUUUCUAUCAUGAACUUUUCCAGUAAUGAUGUUGUAGGGAGCCUUGAAAAUGCAAACACAUAAUUUAGAAGGAAUUUUUUAAAAAAUGUUGUUCUAUUAUCCAAUCUACAAGUAUAUUCUGAUUGUUCAUUAAAUAUAGACAGGACUCCGACUGAUGUGGUCAUGUCACUAGUUGGGGAAAAAUUGUAUUUGGGAAAAAACACCUAUAGUUGUACAUAUCCAAUGAGAUAACUUUCAAAUCACUGAAAUAAUUACUUCUAAAGAGUCUGUUUGAUUUUAAGGAGUUUCCAUCAUUUUAUUUAGAUAGUUAAUGUUGCAUAUAGAAGUUUACAAAAUGUCUAAAAAUUUAUUUACAUAGUCAUUCAAAUUUUAGAUGUGUUAUUGGCAAUAAUUACCCACAGUAAAUUUCUUGGAAAGCUGCUUUACAUAAAUAACAAGGUCAUCCUUGGUUUAUUGUUCUACUUUCACUGCCGCCUAGUUAUUUUGGUCUGCUGCAACAAUAUUUUAUAAACUAAAAUACUUAUAAACAACAGAAAUUUGUUUCUCACAGUUCUAGAGGCUAGGAAGUCCAAGAUCAGUGUGCCAGCAGAUUCAAUGUCAAAUGAGGAGCAGCUCUCUGAUUCAUAGAGGGUGCUUUCUAGUUGUGUCCUUACAUGUUGAAAGGGACAACUGAGCUCCUUUGGUUCUCUUUUAUACGGACACUAAUUGCAUUCCUGAGGGACUUGCCCUCAUGAUCUAAUCCCUCCCCAAAAUCCAUCUCCUAAUAACGUCACAUUGGUGAUUAAGUUUCAACAAAUUUUGUGGGAAAAUAAACAUUCAUAUUCAGUCCAUUGCACACUGUCUUAAUAUUACUUGUUUUGGGGGAUAUUUUUUUCUUUGAAAUAGGAUCUCACUCUGUCACCUGGGCUGGAGUGCAGUGGUACAAUCACGGCUCACUGCAGCCUCAAUCUCUUGGGCCAUCUUCCCACCUCUGACUCCUAAACUGCUGAAAUUACAGGCAUGAGUCACCAUCCAGCAUAACUUGUUCUGUUAUUUGUUUGUUUGUUGGUUGCUUUUUGGGUUUUUUUUUUUUUUUUUUUUACAGGAAUAUAAAUGUUUAUUUAUCAUUUAUUUUAAACUUUUAAGUUCAAGGACACAUGCAGGAUUAUUACAUAGGUAAACAUGUGUCAUGGAGGUUUGUUGUACAGAUUAUCUCAUCCAGGUAUUAAGCCUAGUACCCAUUAGUUAUUUUUCCUGACCCUGUCCCUCCUCCAAACCUCUACCCUCUGAUAGGCUACAGUGUGUGUUGUUCCCCUCUGUGUGUCCAUGUGUUCUCAUCAUUUAACUUCCACUUACAAGUGAGAACAUGUGGUAUUCAGUUUUCUGUUCCUGUGUUAGUUUUCUAAGGAUAAUGGCCUCCAGCUCCAUCCAUGUCCCUGCAAAGGACAUGAUCUUGUUCUUUUUUAUGGCUGCAUAGUAUUCCAUGGUGUAUACGUACCAUAUUUUCUUUAUCCAGCCUAUCAUUGAUGGGUAUUUAGGUUGAUUCCAUGCCUUUGUCAUUGGGAAUAGUGCUGCAGUGAACGUAUGUGUGCAUGUGUCUUCAUGAAAGAAUGAUUUAUAUUCCUGUAGGUAUAUACCCAGUAAUGGGAUUGCUGGGUUGAAUGGUAUUUCCCUCUUUAGGUCUUUGAGGAAUCGUUACAUUGUCUUCCAAAGUGAUUGAACUAAUUUACACUCCCACCAACAGUGUAAAAGCAUUCCUUUUUCUCCACAACCUGGCCAGCAUCUGCUGUUUUUUGACUUUUUUUAGCCAAAGGUCAUGUGUUUUUUUUUAUUUUUUGCUGGAAUCUAAGAAUUAUAUAGCCAGUGAUGGGUGUGACUAUUUUAGACACUGUGACUCAGGGAAAGCACAAAGUGGUAUCUUCCUCAGCACGUACAGGAAGGACACUGUGGAGGAAAUAACAAGUGAAAUACCCAGUAAAAAUUAGAGGAAGAAUAGGAAGGUUAGUAUUUAUGAAGGAGAGAGAGCAAAGUGGUAGCAUAUUAGAAGCAGGGAGUAGGGACAGAUCAUGUAAGGCUUUGUAGUUCAAUACAAAGCCUUGCUAUUACACUCUAAGUAAGAUAGAAGUCUUUGGAAGCUUUUGAGGAGAGUAAUAUGAUGUGACAUUUUUAUAAGUAUUUGUUUAGAUGUAUAUCGAGAUUAUUUCACUAAUCAAUAAAAAGUUGAUAUUUAAAGUAUAAUGGGAUAAAGAUGAAAACAGGAAGAGAAGCAACUGCAGCAGUCUAAGGAAGAUAAAAUGGUAGAAUAGAUAACAAGUUGAAACUCAGUUUCUGCAAUCAUGCUAUUAGUAAGUGUAGAACUGUCCAGGACACAUCUGGUGGGAGAAUGUUUGUGAAUGUUUUUGUUGUAUUUGAGGUAGAGUGGAGUGAUAGAUAACAGUAGGUAUAACCCAUGAAAGAUCUCACAAACUGUCCUUAGGAUGCUGGAUAAGAGAGUUCCCUUUCUACACCACCACCAGUUGAGAAUCCACAUGCUAUUUUUUGCCACCCUUGUCUAAUAUUACCCACCAAAAAGUAUUGCUUUAAGCUUCAGUGUAUAGGCACCCACAUAAAUAUUUCUUAUCGGUAUCCACAGGGAAGUAAAAGAAAAAUUGAUUUAGGAAGCUUGACUUGGACUUAUGUAUACAGAAUCCUUCAGGGCUAGACUGCAGGAACUUGUAUAUUUAUGUAGAGCAUUUCCAGUGUUGCUUUUCUUCAUGGAAUUACUUCAAAGACUUUUUGAACUUCAACAAAUUACAUAAGUGAGGGCCUACUUUUGGAUGCUAUAGUCUGUUCCACUGGCAUGUCAUGUAAGCAGUAGUAACCUCUUAUUUAUCACCUAAUCACAAUAGCUUAGUGUGCUGCUAAAUUAAACUCACUAGAAAAAAAAUCAGUUGAUCCUAUAAGAAGUUAGUCCCAAUUUCUAUUGAGAUAAGUGAUCAAAGAGACUAGGUUCCUGUUCAUAAAGAUGCACUUUGGAGAGAUAAUUUAGUGACUGGGGAAAACAAAAGAGUAGGACCUUUCAUAAAAGGAGGGAAAACAAAGAACAAUGAAAAUAACUGAAAAACAACAACAACAACUGAACACCUGUCUCAUGUUCUAGCUGUCAUGCUUGUUCACAGGAUGAACUUAUACUUUACUAGUUAACAUUGAUCAAUACAAGAUUUUUUUCUAGUUACCUAGCAAGAGCCAAGCAGUAGCUCUGAAGGAGUGAAUACUACCAUAUCUAUGGCUUGUUACCAAGGAAGCAAACAUUUGAAUAUUCUACUUUGAAAAUCCUGUGUCGUACAUGAGGACUCACUUGGCUGUUUAUGUCUGUCCACUGAAGCCCUGGAUGUACCAUUCCCAUUUUUAAAAAAGCAUAAAUUCUAAGAAUUCUAAUUUGGGGUUGCAAAUAUGAUUGCAUAACAAAGGAUGCUAAAAAUUUCUUUUUUUAACCAGAAAAUUAGUUAUCACAAGAGGUCACUUAGCAAUAGAAAAUCACAUUAAGUAUGUUUAAGUUAUGAUGUAUUUAAUCCAACCAACAAAACAGGGCAAUGUUGCAACCCUAAGAACACUGAAACUGAAACAUUUAGACUUAAGAUUUGAUGCUGGACUCUGUCAGGCCUCUGAACCCAAGCCAAGCCAUCGCAUCCCCUGUGACUUGCACGUAUAUGCCCAGAUGGCCUGAAGUAACUGAAGAAUCACAAAAGAAGUGAAUACGCCCUUUCCCACCUUAACUGAUGACAUUCCACCACAAAAGAAGUGUAAAUGGCUGGUCCUUGCCUUAAAUGAUGACAUUACCUUGUGAAAGUCCUUUUCCUGGCUCAUCCUGGCUCAAAAACACCCCCACUGAGCACCUUGCGACCCCUACUCCUGC
rnacentral:lncRNA from 10 species